GUUCGACAGCUAGGUACCUAGGGAGAGAAUCUCUAGGGAUUUUCGAUGGUGGCGCCGUCACAUCUUGGCGGAGCUUUCUGGAACGCCUCGCCCGACCGGUGUCGGUGUCGGCUGUGCGCGUUCGUCACUUGUCUGACUUGUCUUUGCGCCGACGACGAUGACCGCGAGUCAUGCAGCACAUGCAGCUUUCGUCUUGACAACCAUUUGACAACGUAGUCCGUGAACGGGUGUCCCGUAGCGACUUCGUCGUGACUGCCUCAGAGAACGUCUAGUACUGCCUUUGCUUGAUUGACGGACGUCGAGGGCGAAACAGAGCGAAGGUGCUGCAAUGCGCUGCCUUGCCACAAGUGAUGCAAGCCAGAAAGACCAUUACGUGAGGCAGUGAUGGGCGAACAUAUACGUGGAGAACGAACGAAGUGAUUGUGCGAGCAGGCCAAGGCAGAAAGUUGCAAGGAGACUAUUAGUGCCACGAAACCAGCCACCGCCGCCUGUAGCAUCAUCCGGUGCCCGUGCUGCAAGUUCAGUCGUAACGCCUGUGGAGGGGGAUCCGACCCCAUGGAGAAAGUAGGGGCUGACGAGCUGCGUUUAAGUAUGCUUUGCUGGUGCUUUUAGCUAUUUCAAAAGACACAAGAAGUGGCCCGACAUCACUUGGCCAUAGGCUGCUCUUCCUCAUCUCAAUGAGCAUAGCUCUUGGAACACUGGCUCCGCCAAAAAACUAGCCAUAAAGUUCAAGGUAAAGUUUUUAAACCAUGUACUUUUUGCCAUCUCAUGUGAGCUGCCAUACACACAUAGAUGAAUCUUUGUUGUUGCUUGGAGGUAGACUUCAUGCUUCUCUCCCAGCAGCCCAGCUCUCUUCUCUUUCUAUUAUGUAUUACUUUUCUUUGAUUUAUGCUUUAAUGACCAAAGUAUGCAUGCUCACUCCCUGCGUGUGAAGGAGAAAUGCACCGGUGUUUAAAUAAACACCAUAAAAGGAUGCGAAAAGUUAAAGGACCCCUUGUGACUUUUUUACUGUAAUUUGUAGCCUUGUGUCUGGAAAUGCCGAAAUUGAGUGAGUCAUAAAUGCUCUGACAUAUCGUAUAAUUAAUGCUAGUGUGUCUAAUUCUGGCCACUUUUAGCUUCAUUUUGAAACACCCGCCUGAGAUUGUAAGAAACUACUUCCCCACAGCGGGGAGCACCUAGGACAUUGUGCGCUAAAGGUUUGGUGACAUUGACAGCGCAGUUUUCAAAUCGGGGGCCCCGCGUGCGAUAAAGAAUGAAACGAUGUGGGUGCUUCGGUAUGAGCUAAGCCGGUUAAGUGCAUGUCCCCUCAGGAAAAUGAAAAGCAUUCCUGGCUUAAGCAGCCAAAACCACCCUGAGAGCAGCCCGACAACUGAGCGAGAGGGACGAGAAACAAUAGCCCUCGUCAGGUGCCAGUGGUGGUAUUGUGUGCAUCCUGUCCAUCUUUUGUGACGUCAACAAUACUGGCUUUUCUUGUGGAACGUCACACGGGGCCUUCAUCUAUGUCAUAUUAGUGGAGGUGUCACAAGGUGCUGCCAACUCAGAUGAGCGCUCACGCUUACUUUAAAACCAAAUUAAGAUAUCUUAAAGGUAACGUUUGCCACUAUUAAUUGGCCAGAAGUGCCCACGUGUGCAGGACAAUCAAACAACACAAACAUCUCGAGGUCUUGAUUUUGCUGUCAGGGGCCCUUUAAACGGAACUAAAAGUAUGCAGAGGGGACAAGAGCCGUACGGGUCCACCCUAUG